UGGAAUAUAAAAUCAUAUAAAUACAAUAUAUGUCCAUAUCAGAAGGCAUAGGAUCUGGAUUUCUUAGGGCAAGCAAUCCAUCAUUCUGUUAUUUUUUAGGUCUUUACCCUUCGUUAAAAUAUAAUCAAAGGAGAAUAUGUCUGUUGACAAAGGCCACUCUCCCCCGACAACAACUUCACCGCCAUUAGCCGCGGUCCCAAUCCAAUCACAGCCUCCUUCUUCUUCGGUUCAGCUAACGGCGACAGAAGCUACUGCAAGCUAUGAAGAUGUGGUGUCUGAUGAGAAUCUUUUCUUGGCGACGCUUGAGGCGCUGCACAGAUCUCUUGGUACCAAGUUUAUGGUGCCCAGGGUUGGAGGAAGACCUCUCAAUCUACACCGCCUCUUUGUUGAAGUUACUUCCCAUGGUGGACUUCAAAGGGUUAUUAAAGAUCGAAUAUGGAAAGAUGUAAUUUCUGCCUUCAACUUUCCAUCAACAAUUACAAAUGCAUCAUUUGUUUUGAGAAAGUACUACAUCUCUCUGCUUCAACAUUAUGAAGAAGUAUACUUCUUCCGCAAUAAAGUUGUAAUAGACCCAAUAACUGGUACAAAUCAUGGUACUCCUUCAGUAUCAAAACCAAAUCAGGUGGGAACUACUGGCACACAUGGUACCAGUGGAAAACAUUUAACAGAUCCUUUAUCUGGUGAGGUUCAAAUCGACCAAGAACCAUUAAAGCAACAAAAUUCGACAAAGAUAGCACAAUUAAAGAAUUCAACAGGACUUCAUUUGCCAGGAUAUCCACCACUAGAAAUAGGUUCUUGGUUGAGAGGGGAAAUUACAGGAAAGUUUGAGAAUGGAUAUCUAGUGACUGCCAGCUAUGGUUCUGAAAAAUUCACUGGCGUUCUGUAUCAUACUCAUUGUGAUGCUUCUCAGAGUCAGACCUUAUCGUCUUCGUCUUCUGGUCAGCGGAGCAGGAAAAGGCCUUCCCAAGCAACGGAAGACCCUUUUCUUUCUAAAUCAAAUAGUUCCAAUCUACAUCUUGAUCAUGGUGUAAAAGUCAAUCCUUCUUUGUCCACUGAAGAAAAGAAAAUAAGCAAGCAGCUGGGAGAUUUGUGGAAUCGACUCACUCAACCAAGCAAUGAGGUUUUAAAUAUUUGAACAAGAAGAACAAAAGAAGAUCAAAUGUGUAUAGAAGACGAGAACAAUAUUCAGGAAGGACAACCAGGAGACCGAGAGCGAGGGUUAGUAGGACAUUUAUGGGUUGCGAAACCUUGAAGAAGAAACCCAACUUGUCUGGUGAUAAUUUUUUUCAAAAAUUGGAGCAGUUUUAGAUCUUCGACACUCCGCCACAGAACCCUUGUCCAAACUCUGCCGAGUCCAGAAGAGCCUUCAGAGUAUUUGAUUCCACAGAAUUUACAUUACUGCGAUUUUUGUUAUUUACUCCGGACUGGAAAGAAUUGUUGUUACAACUAAUGGGGACUAUUCUGGUUGUUCUGCUUUUACUUUGGUAAUGCAAAAAAUGAAAUUACUGUUGUUUUAACUAAUAGCCGCAAUACAUCACUUCAUUAACAACAAUACAAUA